UAGAACUACCGGUCAAAGUAACAGAUAAAUUUCGACUUUCGACCUAACCACUUCAUAAAAAAUUCUCCUAUCCAAGUAUCAUUUACUGAUUCAUUGUAAUACAUAUUUCAUGAUAAAAAUUUCUGAGUUAUUUAUUAUAUUUAGGAGAGAAAUUUACACUUAAAUUCGACAUAAUAAUAUAACGGUAAACAUAUAAAAGAAUAUCAUGGUACAAUUGUUCGAUUGUCAUUUAUUACAUUAAUUUAAUUUAAUUUUUAUGAUAUUAAAUGGAUCAAAAAACUAUGAUAUUAGAUAUGGAAAUUUUGUAGAAUCAAUUAUAUCUCAGACAUCGUGAGAAAAAAAAAAUUGUAAGAUUAUUAAUUAUUGGCGUACGAUAUUAAAGUGCUAAAAUGCAAAAGGUGGUGUAAUUUAAGAGAAUUUAAGAGAAUCGUGAACAACUCGUGUCCCAUUUUUCAUAAAAACUAAUAUUUGGAACGAGAGGAAGUUUAAAGUAUCUACGGAAAACGGGGGAAAAAAAAACGGAGACACGUUCUUUAUCGGUGCACGGAGAGACGAGAAUGCAGCAUCAAUUUUGAUUGUCACUGUCAACCGUACAUCUAUACAAAGAAAGACGGCUGGGAACUGUCGCAGCCUCUUUCGAUUACGGAUCACGUCUUGACCGCACCUCGUCCCGAUGAAUCCGACUCGAGAAGCAGACGGACCCGCUGACCAACCUACCGUGAAGGAGCUUGAUUGUCCAUAUUGUCCAAGCGUGCUAAGUUAUGGAGAUUCCUAAUGCUAACCCGGCCGACCCUAAUCCGUCUCGUAGCUCUGUGAGCCGGAAGAUCCAGAUUUUCCAAUGUUCUGAAUCGGCCACGUCGAAGCACGAAUUCAAAGGAGCAGAUACUUUUUGACAAGUAUGAGAUAUUAUUUCUUUUUUUUUUUUUUUUUUUUUUUUACGAAUAAAAAAGGAUAUCGUGUAAGAUGAUGACAGGAGAUGAAGAUGCAGUCGCGUCUUUACCUUACGAAGAACAAUGGUUUCGAUCGAGAUGAGAAGGGAAGAGGGAGGAUGGACGACCGUGGUUGACAACCCUUUAUCAAGUACGACGGCUCGUUUAGGUACAGCAGAAGCUAAAUGGACGAGCGGCUCGGAUGAACGGUAGAGGGGCACGCAAUAAAGGGGUAGUGUCGCGAGAUAAUUGGAAGCUACGGCUGUCCUAGAUGGACGUAAAGGCGAGGAAGAGAUUCUAAUGCAGAGCUCGCCCGUGUCUGCCGACUUGCACGUCCACGAUUGCACCUAUUGUUAUUGGCUUUGGAAUUUACGACUUUACUAUAAGAAACUUUUCUAUGAGAUCAGUUUAAACUUUAGUAUUCUGUUAAAUAUUAUAUAAUGAAUAAUAGACACCGUUACGAACAAUAGUAACAUAUUGAAAUAGAAUUAGAAUAGAUUCAUCGAUUAAUCUCGUUACAGAUAGAAUAUAUAUAUAUACACAUGUACACACACACAUAUAUAUAUAUAUAUAUAUA